rnacentral:rRNA from 1 species
UAGGGAAUCUUCGGCAAUGGACGAAAGUCUGACCGAGCAACGCCGCGUGUGUGAUGAAGGCUUUCGGUCGUAAAGCUCUGUUGUUAAAGAAGAACACGUAUGAGAGUAACUGUUCACCCCUUGACGGUAUCUAACCAGAAAGCCACGGCUAACUACGUGCCUG